rnacentral:rRNA from 1 species
UACGGAGGGUGCAAGCGUUGUCCGGAAUCAUUGGGCGUAAAGCGCACGUAGGCGGCAUUGCAAGUCGGAUGUGAAAUCCCUCGGCUUAACCAAGGAAGUGCAUCCGAAACUGCUGUGCUUGAGUACUUAAGAGGAUCGCGGAAUUCUCGGUGUAGAGGUGAAAUUCGUAGAUAUCGGGAGGAACGCCAGUGGCGAAGGCGGCGAUCUGGGAAGAUACUGACGCUGAGGUGCGAAAGCGUGGGGAGCAAACAGG